UGUGCACUCCAAAUUUGUACGCAUACAGGCUACAGCAACAAAGAUUUGAUUUGAGCAAAACGGGGGUCUGAGAUAGGCGUCAGUCCGAUUUGAUUGGGUUUCCGGUAUGGACUAUCGCCACGCCUCCCUUGCCCGUCGAACGUUGGAAGAAAUUCGUCAAAAGAGAGCAGCAGAGAGAUUAAGCAAAAUCUCUUCUGGACCCGAUCUUACCAAUAUCCCUAAUGAGGUUGUGGGGAUUAAAAGAUCCGAGAGUACAACUCGACUAUCAGAGAAUGAUAUGAGUGGUUUAGUUUCUCAAUUGAAACAAGUGCAAAAAAAUAAUGCAGAGCUGGAUGAAGCAAAUAGAGCACUGGCCUCAAGGCUUCAGACAAAAGAAGCCGAGAACAACAUGUUGCAAAAGCGUCUUAAUGAUCUGGAGCAAAACACUGUAGCUUCAUUAAGAAAAGCACUCAAGGAUGUUGCCAUGGAAAAGGAUGCAGCAGUUGUUGCACGAGAGGAUCUUUCAGCUCAGCUUCGUGCAAUUAAGAAACGUGUGAAGGAAGUAGAAGAGGAACAAUAUCGGGCUGAAGAGGAUGCAGCAGCGCUAAGAGCAGAACUUAACUCAUUACAGCAGCAAGCAAUGUCCGGUCCUGUUAGUGGUGUAAAUUCAAUGAAUUUUCCGCUAGAUCAUAUGCAUGUUAUGGAGAAGGAGCUGGCAAAUCUCAAAUCUCAAUUAGAGCAAAUGACCCUGUUGAGGCAACAAGAAAGACAGCAGUUAGUGGAGGAGCAAGCGCGCAUAUCUACACUAACUUCUCAAAAGCAGGAUUUGGAAGAGAAGCUUGCUGUUAUGUCCAAUAAGGUCUCAGAUGAAGUCACCGGAAAGGCAUCCCAGAAGACAUUCUCGGGGGAAGACAAGGUGAGGCUUGAAAAGCAAUUACAUGAUAUGGCUGUGGCCAUUGAAAGAUUGGAAAGUAGCCGGCAGAAACUUCUAAUGGAGAUUGAUUCACAAUCCUCGGAGAUAGAGAGGCUAUUUGAGGAAAAUUACAAUCUGUCGUCCGCUCAUCAAGAAGCUCUAGGGGUGGCCGUGCAGUGGGAGAAUCAGGUCAAAGAUUGUCUCAAGCAAAAUGAGGAGCUUCGUGCCAUAUUAGAUAAGUUGAGGACAGACCAAGCUGCAAUAGCAACUGCAAACAACCUAAUCCAGGAAGGCGUUUCAGGAUCCAUCAAAGGCAGCAAAAAUGAAUUUCAAGGCACACAAUAUGCUGAAAUCCUCUCCAUCAAGUAUAAGACGAUAUCAUUGAUGUCCUUCCAAUUGGUUAUUCGUUUAGGGUCAGCUAGCUAAAGAGCAGAGCAAAGCAGAAGCACUAUCUGCUGAAAUCUUGCAGCUCAAUGCACGGCUCCAGCAGGCCACGCAAGCAUACAAUAGUCUCACUCGCAUCUAUACACCUGUUCUAAGGAACAUCGAGAACAGUCUCGUGACGUUGAAGCAAGAUGGCUCGGUUAGAGUCCUGUAAUAUUGAAAGUGGGUUUGUGAAGUUGAGCCAACAAUCACAUGGCGAAUGGAUAAUGAAGGCACAAAAAAAAAAAAAAGAGGAAAAAGAAAAAUCAUUAUAUGAAUUAUUUGAUACUUGAGAAAAUAUUCACUAUUUUCCUUCAUGUAAUUGCGGGGAUGUGUUUUUUUUUCUUUUUCGGGCAAUGUGUUCUAUACUAGUUAGUUGUGUAUACAUAAACUUUAUUCUUCAAUAGGGGGAAUAAAUGAAAACGUGAAAACUAUUCAUUACUCCCUUUAUCCCAAGUUCCCAACCCAUGUAUCAUACUUUUCUUAGCAUGUCCUAAAAAGAAUGUCAUAUUUCA